GUACGCUGGCGGCACGCCUUAUACAUGCAAGUCGAACGCAGUAGCAAUACUGAGUGGCAAACGGGUGAGUAUAAUGUGGGUAUCUGCCUUUUGGUUUGGAAUAACAUGAGGAAACUUGUGCUAAUACCGAAUAAGCCUUCACAGGGAAAGUUUUAUACGCCGAAAGAUGAGCCCGCACUUGAUUAGUUUGUUGGUGAGGUAAUGGCUCACCAAGACAAUUAUCAAUAGCUGGUCUGAGAGGACGAUCAGCCACAUUGGGACUGAGACACGGCCCAGACUCCUACGGGAGGCAGCAGUAAGGAAUCUUGCACAAUGGGGGAAACCCUGAUGCAGCGAUGCCGCGUGAGUGAAGAAGGCCCUUGGGUUGUAAAACUCUUUCGUCGGGGAAGAAAAUGACUGUACCCGAAUAAGAAGGUCCGGCU
rnacentral:rRNA from 1 species